CUGGUGUUCAGACUGUCCAGGUGGGUUUAUGGCAAUAAAGCAUAAAACUAUUUCUUGCACAAAACACUUUCCUCUUCCUAUGUUUUCUGGUAAAAUACUGGAUUGUUUCAAUUCUCAGUGCCUCUAAACAGAUUCAGAUACACAGAAAAAACAAACAAAACAGUCUGGUUUAAGUGGUCAGAACUGCAUAUGCAAUCUGAGAUAAGGGUUUGUACAAAAGACUCUUUGUUUGCAUGGAGUCACUGACCAAAAUGCUUGGAAAAUACUACUAUAUAGUCAUAGAUAGAAACUAAUUUAGAUCUUAUUUUGGUGUUUUAGAUAUUUUGUUUAAACCCAACAGCAGAAACACACAGGGAAUAAUGAGAAAAAUAAUGGAAAAAACAGAAUUCAAUCAUUGAGAACCAUAUUUCUUUAAAAAAUGUAAGGUCAUUUUAAUCUGAUCACAGGAACACUUUUCAAAAAGCAGAGAUGGGGUAAAAAAAAGACUGAAAAAGUUGUGUAACUCUAACAAUAAAAAAAUAAAUAAACAAAAAAACCUACUUGAUCACAAUUCAGUAAUGGUGCAUCAGCUUAAAAGAUCAUCUCAGAGAAGCUCAGCCUUUCAAAAUAAGAAUUAAAAAUGGGUGCAUAGAAAAGCAGUUCAAAAAUUUAAAAUAAAAUUAUUACGACUUGGAGACUUCAGUAUAUGCUGUACAUUAAACAGUAACACAGACAAUCAGCUAAUGCAGGCUGUAAAAGCGCUUCUAUUUCUCUCUCAAACACUCGCUCUCUUCUGGUGGGCCAAGAAAAGCUCUUGCAUGGACUCCCUGCUUGUCAGUUUGUUAGUACAAGUUUUAGAUAAAUGGGGGUUUGUCCGGGACAAUCAAACCUAUCUGGUUAUGUUAAAGCUUCCUGUUAUGAGUGAUUUAUAGUGACUACCAAUGAGCCACGUGGCAUUUGCAAAAAAUGACUGUAAUAAAGUGCCUAGUAGAAAGUCAAUGCAAUAGAUUUGGUUAAGUCAAUAGGAAUUAAUCUCAGAAGAAGUCAGUAACAUCAGUGAUACAAGCAUCGAUUGUGUGUCAUACUUCCUGCGAACCUGUUGAUGGUACAAACAAAAAAUAAAAAGGUGAGAUUUAGGUGGAUGGAAGCCAGAGGGAAUUUGAACAUGCACACACUGUUUGUGAUUCAUGUCAGCCAGCUGCCCUUCAAAGUAGGCCAAGGCUGCCAAAGA
ensembl:lncRNA